UUUGCAAGUUUGAGGUCACAGCAGAAGGUCUCAUAGUUCAGCCUGUCAGAUUCAAAUGAAAUCUGUGAAUUCUGCU
rnacentral:ribozyme from 1 species